rnacentral:rRNA from 1 species
GGCUUCGGCCCUUGAGUACAGCGGCCAACGGGUGAGUAACACGUGGGUAAUCUGCCCUUGAGACGGGGAUAACCCGGGGAAACCCGGGCUAAUACCUGGAUAAGACCACAGAAGGCAACUUCAGUGGUGUCAAAGUGAGCUUUCUUCUGGGAAGCUGCUCGUUUAAGUGAGUGAGCCCGCGUCCUAUCAGCUUGUUGGUGGGGUAAAAGCCUACCAAGGCGAAGACGGGUAGCUGGUCUGAGAGGAUGAUCAGCCACACAGGGACUGAGACACGGCCCUGACUCCUACGGGAGGCAGCAGUGGGGAAUAUUUGGACAAUGGGGGAAACCCUGAUCCAGCGACGCCGCGUGGGUGAUGAAGGCUUUCGGGUCGUAAAGCCCUGUCAGGAGGAAAGAACGCUCCUAUGGUGAACACCCAUGGGAAGUGACGGUACCUCCAAAGGAAGCACCGGCCAACUCCGUGCCAGCAGCCGCGGUAAGACGGAGGGUCAAGCGUUGCUCGGAAUCACUGGGCGUAAAGGGUGCGUAGGCGGCCUCUUAAGUCUGGCGUGAAAGCCCAAGGCUCAGCUUUGGAAGUGCGCUAGAAACUGGGGGGCUUGAGUAUCGGAUGGGAGAGUGGAAUUCCUGGUGUAGCGGUGAAAUGCGUAGAUAUCAGGAGGAAUACCGGUGGCGAAGGCGACUCUCUGGACGAUAACUGACGCUGAGGCACGAAAGCGUGGAGAGCAAACAGGAUUAGAUACCCUGGUAGUCCACGCCGUAAACGAUGGGCACUAGGUGUCGGGGGUAUCCACUCCCCCGGUGCCGCCGCUAACGCAUUAAGUGUCCCGCCUGGGAAGUACGGUCGCAAGAUUAAAACUCAAAGGAAUUGACGGGGGCCCGCACAAGCGGUGGAGCAUGUGGUUCAAUUCGAUGCAACGCGAAAAACCUUACCUGGGUUUGACAUCUGCGAAUCCUCUGGAAACAGAGGAGUGCCCGUAAGGGAGACGCCAAGACAGGUGCUGCAUGGCUGUCGUCAGCUCGUGCCGUGUAGGUGUUGGGUUAAGUCCCGCAACGAGCGCAACCCCUAUCUUUAGUUGCCCCCAGGUAAAGCUGUGGCACUCUAAGGAGACUGCCCGUGUUAAGCGGGAGGAAGGUGGGGACGACGUCAAGUCAUCAUGGCCUUUAUACCCAGGGCUACACACGUGCUACAAUGGGUGGUACAGAGAGUUGCUAACGCGCGAGCAGGAGCUAAUCUCAGAAAACCAUCCUCAGUUCGGAUCGGAGUCUGCAACUCGACUCCGUGAAGUUGGAAUCGCUAGUAAUCGCGGAUCAGCAGCCGCGGGAAUACGUUCCCGGGCCGACACACCGCCCGUCACACCACGGGAGUAGUGACCGGAAGUAGUGCGUACCGCAAGGGAAGCAACUACCCAGGGUACGACCGG